AACACCCCAACACUCCUUAUCUAGGAGCCAGGGUGAAGAGCACAGCCCCACCGUUCAUGGAUCCAUGUCCAAAAGGGAAAAAACAGCCAGCUGUUCAAAGAAGCCCAGUUCUCCUGAGGUUGAGAUCACACAAAAUUCACCCAAAAUUCCGGAAUGUCUGAAUGACUACAAGGGUCCCAGCUACUCAGGAGGCUGAGGCAGGAGAAUGGCGUGAACCCGGGAGGCGAGGCUUGCAGCGAGCCGAGAUCGCACCACUGCACUCCAGCCUGGGCAACAGAGCAAGACUCCAUCUUAAAAAAAAAAAAAAAGAAUGACUACAAGGAAGAGCAAAAUUACAAAUAUCAAUGCAUUAUAAAGCCAUAAUAAUUAAAAUAGUGUGGUAUCAAUUAACUCAGGAAUAUACAGCUAGAUCAAUAGAAUUGAAUAGAAUGACCCAUGCAUAUAUUGAAAUAAAGCGUAUUAAAAUGUUGGCAUUUUCAACCAUCAGAGAAAGGAUAAAUGAUGCAAUAAACAGCUCACUACAUGACGAUGGAGUACUUGGGUAUCCAUACAAAAAAAAAAAAAUUACAUGCUCACCUAAGUGGUAACAAGAGAAAUGAAAAGUAACAGUAAGAUAUUGUUCUCCCAUAUCACACACAAAAAUGUCAGUCACUAUCAGGAGUUGGCUUGGUUCAUAGGUAAACAGGUCCCUAGUGGUUGGCAUAUACAUGGUUACAUCGAUAUAUAGAGUGAAUUCUGUCAGUCUCUAGUAAAACAGAACAUGUGCUGGACCAUUCACCUAGGAUGUCACCUCUGGGAGCCUGUGCUCGAGAAGAAUGGGUGAACAGGAUGCUGUCUCAGUGCAGUGACUGAGAACAGCUGAAAUGCCCAACAGGAAGGGAGUGGGUUGUUGAAGUGGCUUAAAUCUGUGUGUAUCAAUAGCAAAUGCCAAGCUGGGUGCAGGGGCUCAGGCCUGUAAUCCCAGCACUUUGGGAGGCUGAGGCAGGCAGAUCACAUGAGGUCAGGAGUUCAAGAUCAGCCCGGCCAACAUAGUGAAACCCCGUCUCUACUAAAAAUAAAAAAAUUAGCUGUGUGUGGUGGUGUGUGCCUGUAAUCCCAGCUACUCAGGAGGUUGAGGCAGGAGAAUCACUUCAACCCAGGAGGUGGAGGUUGCAGUGAGCCAAGAUCGCCCCACUACACUCUAGCCUGGGUGACAGAGCAAGACUCUGUCUCAUAAAAAUCAAACAAAAAAAAAAUCAAAAUACCAAUUGCAAGAAACAAAAAAAAGCAAAUUGCAGAGCAAUGCAUAUAACUAUAAUGUUAAAA
rnacentral:lncRNA from 10 species